UUGUGAGAUAAACAGCACAGGUAUCAUGAUUUGUUUUCCUUUUUGACAAAAAUGAUCUUAGUUUGUGAUAUUGUCAAAGUGUCUUUUCAUUACCAUUUCAUUAGCCACUUGCUUAAAUAUAUUAAUUAUUAACCCAGUGAUUAGUACUAAUGUCGUCCAAAAUUAUUUAAAAUAAAAAUUCUUAGGCACCACUAGCUACAAGCUAUUACCUUAAUUCUCUUACAUCAGUGACAUUUUAAAUUAGUUUCUGUUUGAGAACUCCUUGGUUAUUACUAUACUUAUACUACCAUAGUACCAAAGGAAAAAAAUAAUUAACUGAAUUAAGAUCUUCAAGGACUAUAGUAGCAGAAAUUGUUGAAAACUUUUUCCUUUCUUUUGACCAUUGAUGUGUUUUGAGUGUGUCUCCACCCAAAUCUCAUCUUGAAUUGAAGCUCCCUUAAUUCUCACAUGUUGUGGGAGGGACUCGGUGGGAGAUAACCAAAUCAUGGGAGUGGGUUUUUCCCAGACUGUUCUCCUGACCAUGAAUAGGUCUCACAAGGUCUGAUGGUUUUAUAAGGCAGAGUUUCCCUUCACCCACUGUCUUCCGUGAUGCCGCGUAAGAUGUGACUGUGCUCCUCAUUUGCCAUCAGCCAUGAUUGUGAGGCCUCCCCAGUCAGGUGGAAUUGUGAGACAAUUAAACCUCUUUCCUUCAUAAAUUAUUCAGUCUCAAGUAUUAGCAGCAUGAGAACAGACUAAUACAACCAUCUUCUCCAUUUUCGUAGAUAUAACUGAUCACUGUAAGUCCUAAACACUGAGUGGCACCAUUAGGCAUGUUUCCAAAGCAUGCUAAGAAUACCUUGUUUAAAGGAAGGAGGAAAUGGAAUGUGCUAUGGUUUGGAUAUGUCCCCCAAAGUUCAUGUGUAGGAAACUUAAUUCCCAAUACAACAGUAUUGAGAAGUGGAGCCUAAUGGGAAGUGUUUAGGUCAUAAAGGGUCCACCCUCAUGGAUGGAUUAAUGCAGAUUAUAAAAGUACUUGAGGCUGACAGUUUAACCUCUUGCUCUCUGUCAUGCAAUUAUCUUUCUCACUCCUGUUAUACUUUCUGCCAUUUUAUGACACAGAAGACCCUUCCCAGAUGCCAGUGUCAGGUUCUUGAACUUCCAGGUCUGCAGAACUAAUGUAAGCCAGAAUGGAGGAAGAAACUCUGACUGUACUUUUCAUGACCAUGAAUUAUCCAAGAGGCACCAAACUUUACUGGUAUGUCUGAGUUGAAUAGAUAAAUGAAGGAGUAGAUGAAUGCUUAAAAGUUAUUGCAAAUUAGAUACAAGUAACAGGAAACAAAAUGGAAUUUGAAUCAGAUAACCUAGGGUUGAAUUUGGAGCAAAUUAUUCAAUCUCUCUGCAAUUCAGCAGUCUUGUCUUUAAAAUUGGGACAAUAAAAACACCUAUAGCAUAUAUCCA
rnacentral:lncRNA from 13 species